rnacentral:rRNA from 1 species
GAUGAACGCUGGCGGCGUGCCUAAUACAUGCAAGUCGAGCGAACAGAUGAGGAGCUUGCUCCUCUGACGUUAGCGGCGGACGGGUGAGUAACACGUGGAUAACCUACCUAUAAGACUGGGAUAACUUCGGGAAACCGGAGCUAAUACCGGAUAAUAUAUUGAACCGCAUGGUUCAAUAGUGAAAGACGGUUUUGCUGUCACUUAUAGAUGGAUCCGCGCCGCAUUAGCUAGUUGGUAAGGUAACGGCUUACCAAGGCAACGAUGCGUAGCCGACCUGAGAGGGUGAUCGGCCACACUGGAACUGAGACACGGUACAGACUCCGACGGGAGGCAGCAGUAGGGAAUCUUCCGCAAUGGGCGAAAGCCGGACGGAGCAACGCCGCGUGAGUGAUGAAGGUCUUCGGAUCGUAAAACUCUGUUAGUAGGGAAGAACAAAAGUGUAAGUACCUAUGCACGUCUUGACGGUACCUAAUCAGAAAGCCACGGCUAACUACGUG